rnacentral:misc_RNA from 1 species
GAUGAAGAACGUAGCGAAAUGCGAUACUUGGUGUGAAUUGCAGAAUCCCGUGAACCAUCGAGUCUUUGAACGCAAGUUGCGCCCGAAGCCAUUAGGCCGAGGGCACGCCUGCCUGGGCGUCACACGUCGUUGCCCCCCCAUCUACUCCUUCGGGAUUGCGGGGGGCGGAUGAUGGCCUCCCGUGCGCCUCGUCGCGCGGUUGGCAUAAAUACCAAGUCCUCGGCGACGCACGCCACGACAAUCGGUGGUUGCGAAACCUCGGUUGCCCGUCGUGUGCGGUCGUCGCGCAUCGAGGGCUCGAAAAAAUUGCCGGGCUCCGGCUCGGCUUUCAACGCGACCCCGGGUCAGGCGGGGUUACCCGCUGAAUUUAAGCAUAUCAAUAAGCGGAGGA